AUGAUGGAUCGGUCGUCCACAGGUGGAGUCCUCGGCUUCUUGAUGAGCUCCUCCACCACACUGUGUGUGUGUAGUGUCUCCUGUCUCCCUCUCCGCUCCCAUCUACCGUCUCUCAUAUUGUGUGGCUCUGUGGUUUAUUUACUCUGGUUCUGUGACGGCGUUCCCAUGAUCCCAUACCUCCAUGAUGGUGGCAUGGAGAUAAUGGUCGCUCGCUGCUGUGUGUGUGUGUGUGUGUGUGUGUGUGUGUGUGUGUGUGUGUGUGUGUGUGUGUGUGUGUGUGUGUGUGUGUGUGUGUGUGUGUGUGUGUGUGUGUAUGUAUGUGCACACACACCCCCCCACACCCCCCCACACCCCCCCCCCCCCACACACACACACACACACACACACACACACACACACACACACACACACACACACACACACACACACACAUGUGUGUUUGUUUAUGCAUGUGUGUGUGCAUGGAUUGCAUGUGGGCAAGACUUUUGUGUGUGUGUGUGUGUGUGUGUGUGUGUGUGUGUGUGUGUGUGUGUGUGUGUGUGUGUGUGUGUGUGUGUGUGUGUGUGUGUGUGUGCAGGUUUUUGUUUAUGUAUACCUGUUUGCAUAGAUUGCAUGUGGUAUAGGCUUGUGUGUGUGUGUGUGUGUGUGUGUGUGUGUGUGUGUGUGUGUGUGUGUGUGUGUGUGUGUGUGUGUGUGUGUGCGUUUCCGUGCACGAGCAUGUGUAUUGCAUUGUGAUUGCAUGCGUGUCUGAGGCUGUCCUGGUGAGGAACUAGGAAUAUUGGCACUGUGAGGUGUCAGAGUGCCAGAGAGUUUCCCUGCCCCCGUUUAGCGAGACCUCCAGCCCUCCUAUCUCCCACACCUCAUCUGUCUGUGUUCUCCCCCAGCUGGGAGGGGGAGAGGGAGACAGAGGGCUGACAUUGUCCAGGAAUAAAACACACAGUGCGCAGUGCAGGAUCCAGACACGAAUCCAAGAGGGAAAUUAAUUAAUGGGGUCUGCAACAAGGGUGGCCAGGAGACUGAACGAAGGAAGGAAAGAGGAGAGGAAUGGAAAUAAGGGCGAAAGAAUAAACAAAUGAAUUUGAUUUAAUUAAAUUUGAUUAAAAAGAAAGAAAGAAAUUAGAGAAAUUAAAGAAUGAAGGGCAAAAAUAAGUUAAAAUCCAAAACAAAUGAAAUUCAAAAUGAAAUAAUAUCAAAAAUAACAGAGUAGAAAAGAAAGGAAUAGAAGGAAUGGAUUGCAGAAGAAAGAUGGAAAAGAAGGAAAUAAAGAAUAUCCCAAAGAAAGGAGGGCUAGAACCGUUUUCACUAAUCCCCCAUCUCAGCCAGGACGGCUCCGACUCCCAACAUGUGUUCCCCAUUUGCUCACCAGUUGUUUGCAUCAGCUGAGCACCCCUCGCUCACAUAUGACUGAGAGUGUGUGUGUGAUUAUGGCCCCAUAUGUGUUUGUUUAUGUUUGUGGGUAUUUUUGUCUGCGUCUAAAUACACUUCAAACCUCACACAACAUCAAUGGCUCUCCGAAGGCAUUGUUACCAUGUGCUUUUCUUCUUUUGUCAUUCUUCAUCGUUUAUAAAAAGUGGAGGGGCGGCCGGUGUGCUUGGGGGGGGAGGGAUCAAUAUGGAAGAGAUUCAGAAUUUAUUUAUUAGCUCUUCAGUGGAUGGGGGUCAAUAAGGGUCAAGUCAAGACGACUCCCACUUUGUCGAGGAACAGAUGCGAGACGCGAGUGCGAUUCCGUUGUAGGUCCCUUUUCUUUCAAGAAAACGUGUGAGCCAGCAGAAUACGCUGUUCUUCAUUACAAGCCCAUCUCCGUGUCUCUGGUCAGGAGAGAACACACUGGAUUUAUUUGGUGAAAAAAAAUGCCCUCUGUCGCCACCUCCUUUUUAUCCUGUUUUUCCGUCGGCGUGCUUCGCCCCUUCGGUCUCAGUCUUCCUUUCGUCAGUCUCCUCUCCGGGGUCUGUCUGGUCGGACCGACGGCUUGCUGUGGGGGGGAGUGUGUGAUGGAGGGGGUCGGGCACGCGCUGUGUUGUAAGACGAGGACAUGCAGGCGAAAGAGGGCGGAGAUGUCCAGCCGUACAGGUUGUGGUAUCUCUGUGUCUCUCUGUGUGUCUCUAUGUAUCUCUCUCUUUCUCUGUCUCUCUCUGUCUUUCUCUAUCCCUGUCUGUUUCUAUUCCUCUCUCUAUCUCACUUUCUGUGUGUCCGUCUAUCUGUGUGUUUAUUUCUCUCUCUCUCUCUCUCUCUCUCUCUCUCUCUCUCUCUCUCUCUCUCUCUCUCUCUCUCUCUCUCUCUCUCUCUCUCUCUCUCUCUCUCUCUCUUUCUCUCUCACUCUCUCUCUCUUGCUCUCUCUGAUUCUCUCCCUCUUUCUCUCUCUGUUUAUCUGUCUCUGUUCCUCUCUCUCCCUUCCUAUCCAUAAAUAUUACAUGAUUUAUUAGGUGAAUCUUCUAAUCCAAGCACACACUCAAUAUUGGAACAACAGAAUGACAAAAUAAUUGCUCUACAACCAAGUUUCCAUGGCGAGCUAAAGUGCAGUGGAGUAGGGCUCACCAGCUACCACUGAUACAGCAUCCCUAUGUAUUUACAUAUGCGGCGUUGUGCAGCUAACGAGGAUGGAACAGCAUUCUGCAGUAAUGGGGAUAUAAUGGCCUGUUGGGUGGCAAUCCUUGUUUGGGUUUCAGCACUUGUCUACAUGAAUUAUUAUACCUUGAGAAAUACUACAUUAGCAAAAUGUGUAUUUAGUGUUCGUCUUAAAGGCAACGUGUGUAAAUAAGAGAACCUCGUAGCGGGAACAUAACCAUUACGCUUAAUGGGAAUAUUCUAACGGACGUAUAAAAGCCAUAUUUAUUCCCCCGGCCCGAACGUUAAACACCUUACGGUGUCUCUCUCUUUAAUUGGCUUCCUCCUCCUCCUCCUCCUCCUCCUCAUCAGAGCCGUGAUUCAUGGGUCCGGUCGUACGCACGGGGCUUGCGUUUUCUGGCCCGCUUCAAGUAGCAGUCCAAAUAUACCAAGCGCUGCGAGGCCGGCCAAGUAUAACACCAUAUUUAUUUAUGGAUUUAUCUGGACUUCCUGUGUGCUGGGCAAGCCCGGGGGGGGGGGGGGGGGGGGGGGGGGGCUGUUCGGCCCGUCUCACUGGGUCGGUGAGCGCUGCGGCCCAGCAGGGGGACGGCUGCAUUAGAGGCCGGGAUGUUCAGCCGGCCGUUUAGAAGACUCAGGCUGGCCUCAGGCUCCGCCCUCCCUCUUGCAGUACCUGGGGGACCUGGUCCUGGUUCUGGUCCUGGUUCUGGUCUCGAUCCGGGUUCUGGUCCUGGUUCUGGAUCUGCUCUUGGUUCUGGUCCUGAUCUUGGUCUUGGUCUGGGUCUUUGUCCUGGUCAUAGUCCUGGUUCUGGUCCUGGUCCUGAUUCUGGUCUUGGUUCUGGUCCUGGUCCUGGUCCUGAUUCUGGUCUUGGUCCUGGUUCUGGUCCUGGUCCUGGUCUUGAUCUGGUCCUGGUCCUGGUGCUGGUCCUAGUUUUAGUCUUAGUCCUGGUCAUGGUCCUGGUUCUGGUCCUGAUCCUUACAGGCCUAGGUGGGGGUUGUUUAGUGUGUGUGCGUUGGUGUGAGAGUGUGUGUGUGUGUGUGUGUGUGUGUGUGUGUGUGUGUGUGUGUGUGUGUGUGUGUGUGUGUGUGUGUGUGUGUGUGUGUGUGUGUGUGUGUGUGUGUGUGUAUGCGUGUGUGUGUGUGUGUGUGUGUGUGUGAGUGCAUGUGUUUCUUUGUGUUUGCGUGUGUUUGCGUGCGUACGUGCGUGUCAUUUCUGCGUAUUCCCCCUAGAUAUCUUUAAGUGGACGCUGGGUGCAUCACAUAAACUUCUUCCACUAUGUUUACUUUGCAUGGACAUUUAGCUAUGCAUUAUAUAUAUAACUCAGAGAAGGAAAGAUAUAAAGAUAGAAGAACACCCAAAGAUACGAGGGAUGGAAGUAGGGAGGAAGAGAGGAAUGGGAGAAAAAGAAGCGAGCUGAUUUGAAGCACAGGCCAGAUGUUCCUCACAUCAUCUAUUGAUUAGACAACUGUCUAUUUUUAAAGACCUAUGUUGUUCCAUUGUGUUUGAUUUUCGCCGUGAAGCAGCAGCCGUGAAAUCCCGAACCAGACCUUGAGCCCUGUUGUGUAAAAGGAGUGCAGUCUGCAUUUCUAAAUAAACACCUCGGAACCAGCACCAUACUUUCCUGGCCCCCUGCAGUAUUUUCUAGCAUAGGAGCUGGGAGGAAUGUAAAUAGAAAAAUUAUAUAUUCUUCUGGAUGGAAAAAAUAUCCUCUCUUGCCCGCAUGCUUGCAGGGUUUCUGGCCGCAACGCUGUGCCAGAACGAAACUCACAACAAACCCAUCUACGUUUUCCACUCGCUUCGACACUCCGACCCAGAAACCAUCUCUCUUUUCCACCACCUAAAGUGUGAAUCUUUGAAGCGUAGCUUCCCCCUGCGGAUCGGAACGCUGAUCACGCUCGGAGUGACGGUCGAGGUGAGGAGAGAUGUGUGAAAUGUGUGCUUGUGUAUUGAUCACUCCCAGGGAAAUCAGCCUUUGUUCCACUGUUUGCAUAUGCAGGCGUCUGUGGAUGAUUUGUGAGCUGCGCUCGCCAGGCACAUUAAAUUAAUCACAUUAUCAUAAUUACAUAAAAGUAUCCACUGAACUUAUUAUAAGUAGAGCUGGCGCCCGCUGCACUGCAUGGCCCAGCUCCCCCUAGGACACGGAUCAGACAGACCCCAGCAUGCUUUCCUGAUCAGACAUGGUCUCUCCUGCCGCUCCGUCUCACUCAUCAGGCAGUAGCUGACUCCUCUCUCUCACGCUGUCCUCAGGAGAUGCUUCAGGAAGCCAGCAGCGCACCGGGGGCAGAGCCAAGUGUGCUGAGGAGCUCCCGCUCUCUCUCUCUCUCUCUCUAUCAGGUGAGCUUUCCAGUUAUUCAUCUCCAGGAUGUGCUUGAUAUCCGGAGGGUGUGUGUGGAUCCGUCCUAUUUUAUAGCUUCUGACAUUUACAUUAUCUUUAUUGGGUGCGACGGCCAGCGGCCAUGAAACGGAAGAUGCAGGGAAAAAAGAAGGGGAAAAAAAGGAGGGAAUAGAUGCAAAUACCCUGUCUUCAUAUCUGAACCGGUCCUUUUUUUCCACCAUUAAAUAUGUGCAUUUUGUGAGACUGUUCUGAGCUUUCCUCCCCAAUUCCCAGUCCUGGUUGGCAGGGUCCGCUCUCAGGGAACAACAGUAGCUUGUUUGUGUAGCGCAAUAAUCCCACGAUAGUCAACAAGGCAAAACCCUACCAAUCUGUCUGUCUGUCUGUCUGUCUGUCUGUCUGUCUGUCUGUCUGUCUGUCUGUCUGUCUGUCUGUCUGUCUGUCUGUCUGUCUGUCUGUCUGUCUGUCUGUCUGUCUGUCUGUCUGUCUCUCUCAGCAGCCUUACUCAAAAAACCAGAACAAUGAACACACACACAAACCCAUAUACACACACAUACACACACGUGUGCGUGACAGAACAUGCUUCCCUUUGAUAGCAGAAGCAUAAAGCUUAAUGCACUCCGAGAAAACAAACAGCGCAGGAUAGACUCGGCCUGUGCUAAUGCCCCCGU
rnacentral:lncRNA from 1 species